CAAGUUCGAACGCGAAAGUCCCCUUCGGGGGAUUAGUAGAGUGGCGUCCGGGUGAGUAACACGUAGGUAAUCUACCUUUGGGUGGGGAAUAACGCAGGGAAACUUGCGCUAAUACCGCAUAAUGCAGCGGCACCACAUGGUGACAGUUGUUAAAGCGGGGGAUUUUCGGACCUCGCGCCUAAAGAGGAGCCUGCGGCAGAUUAGCUAGUUGGUAGGGUAACGGCUUACCAAGGCGACGAUCUGUAGCCGGCCUGAGAGGGCGGUCGGCCACACUGACACUGACAUACGGGUCAGACUCCUACGGGAGGCAGCAGUCGGGAAUUUUGGGCAAUGGGCGAAAGCCUGACCCAGCAACGCCGCGUGAAGGAUGAAAUCCCUCGGGAUGUAAACUUCGCAAGAAUGGGAAGAAUUAGUAGGGGCUAAUACCCCCUAUGAUGACGGUACCACUUGUAAGCUCCGGCUAACUCCGUGCCAGCAGCCGCGGUAAUACGGGGGGAGCAAGCGUUGUUCGGAUUUACUGGGCGUAAAGGGCGCGUAGGCGGUCAGCACAAGUCAGUUGUGAAAUCUCCGGGCUUAACUCGGAAAGGUCAACUGAUACUGUGCGACUAGAGUGCAGAAGGGGCAACUGGAAUUCUCGGUGUAGCGGUGAAAUGCGUAGAUAUCGAGAGGAACACCUGCGGCGAAGGCGGGUUGCUGGGCUGACACUGACGCUGAUGCGCGAAAGCCAGGGGAGCGAACGGGAUUAGAUACCCCGGUAGUCCUGGCCUUAAACGAUGGAUGCUUGGUGUCUGGAGUUUUAUAGUCUCCGGGUGCCGUAGCUAACGCGUUAAGCAUCCCGCCUGGGG
rnacentral:rRNA from 1 species